rnacentral:rRNA from 1 species
AACGGGUUGUCGCUGGUCCCGUUCUUAACAGAGUCGGGACAUGGGCACACCUGGCUUCAUUCCACUCUUCAACCCCUGGGCACUUGUUGUAGGUUUCAGGUCGGACGCGGGGCUUUUGACUUCAUCGUCGAGAGCCUCAAGGAAAGCCUGAGCCUAUGUUUUACCACACACACGCUUCAGUUAUAGAAUGUAAACAUCGCGUAUAACGCAUUUUAAAUACAACUUUCAGCAACGGAUCUCUUGGCUCUCGCAUCGAUGAAGAACGCAGCGAAAUGCGAUAAGUAAUGUGAAUUGCAGAAUUCAGUGAAUCAUCGAAUCUUUGAACGCACCUUGCGCUCCUUGGUAUUCCGAGGAGCAUGCCUGUUUGAGUGUCAUGGAAUUCUCAACCUUUGAAAGCUUUUUUGGGUUCCCAAAGGUUGGGAUUGGGAGGCCGGGCCGGUUCUGCAAAAAACAUCUCCUCCUCUGAGACUCAUCGCGGCCCAUCUUUACUCGUCGUCUUCGGGGUGAAAAACUACUACGCCGUGGACAAGAAUGAUGAUGGCCGCCGUGCUUCUCACCGCCUUCGUUGGAAGACAAAUGCUGUGCUACNUACUAUAUANGACAUGAGCAUUGGCCCUCUGACCUCGAAUGACGUCCCACUGCCCGUUGAACUUACCCAUAUCANUAGAAAAAAGACUAGAAACUANUCCNCUAUCCCCUGGUAACUGGCGAGUGAAGAG